UACGUAGGGGACAAGCGUUGUCCGGAUUUAUUGGGCGUAAAGAGCGUGUAGGCGGCCAGACAGGUCCGUUGUGAAAACUCGAGGCUCAACCUCGAGAUGUCGAUGGAAACCGUCUGGCUAGAGUCCGGAAGAGGAGUGUGGAAUUCCUGGUGUAGCGGUGAAAUGCGCAGAUAUCAGGAAGAACACCAAUGGCGAAGGCAGCUCUCUGGGACGGUACUGACGCUGAGACGCGAAAGCGUGGGGAGCAAACAGG
rnacentral:rRNA from 1 species